CUCACUGCGGGGGCGCGCCAUUUCGCGCCUCCGGGCCGCUCGGCUGCCCCAGGGGCGCCUGGCAAACGUGGAGUCGCUCGGUUUUGGAGGCAUGCUUUCCAAACUUUCUAAUUCACAGGGUCUUUGCACGCAGCCCCUGCCCCACAACACCUUGGCAGUCUCUGAGACUUCUGGGGCUCUUCUCCCGGGCAGCUCCCGUGCCUGUCCGGUCCCGGAGUUGAAUAGUUUUUGAAGUAAUGAGACGGGAACGAGACUUGGGACGAACUGGAGAAAAACAUAACCGCGAAAGGAGGAGGCGGCUAUCACUUACUGGCUGUGUCAGAAGUCGCCGGGAACGCGUUGCUCCCGAGGCCGAAGGGCCCAGAGAGCUCCAGCCAGGCAGCGGGUUCGUCUCCGGCGCAAGAAGGCUGUGUGACGACACAUCAAGAAGGUGACCACCUGCAAGCCAGGAACAGAGCGCUCACUGUGGAACUGAAUUGGCUGCUACCUUGAUCUUGGACUUCCCAGCUCCCAGACUGUAAGAAAUAAAUUUUUAUUGUUUGAGCCACUCAGUCCAGGUUAUUACAUUAUGGCAGCUCAAGCUGAAUAAUAUCUUGGCAAUAUGUAAAUACGUUCCCAUUAAAAUCUAACUCAUUAGUCAUAAGAUAAAUUCACUGAAAGAGUAAUAAAGCACAUUUGUAAUAACAUACAUUCACUAAAGUGAUAUAUAUUAGCUUAGUAAUGUAAAACAUUUUAACUGGACCUUAAUUGUUGCAUAUUACACCAACAGGCUUAACAUUGCUAAGGUAAGGGAAUCACUGAAUAAAUGAUGGUAUAUUCAUACAGUGUAAUACCAUGAAACCAUCAAAAGCACAUUUCAUUUGGAAGAGUAUUUCACAAUAUAAGAAAAAAUGAUAUAAGGCAAGUAUACAACGUUACAUACAAUAAGAUCCCAUUUUACAGGAGGAAAAAGUGAGUACAGAUAUAUAGAUAUAGAUAUGUAAAGAAAUAAACCAGGCCUGGCACGAUGGCUCACUCCUGUAAUACCAGCACUUCGGGAGGCCUAGGUGGGCGGAUUACCUGAGAUCAGGAGUUCAAGACCAGCCUGGCCAACAUGGCG
rnacentral:lncRNA from 10 species